GUAAGGAAUAUUGGACAAUGGCCGCAAGGCUGAUCCAGCCAUGCCGCGUGCAGGAUGAAGGUGCUAUGCAUUGUAAACUGCUUUUGUUCGGGAAUAAACCCCUCUACGUGUAGAGGGUUGAAUGUACCGAAAGAAUAAGGGUCGGCUAACUUCGUGCCAGCAGCCGCGGUAAUACGAAGGACCCAAGCGUUAUCCGGAUUUAUUGGGUUUAAAGGGUGCGUAGGCGGGUUUUUAAGUCAGUGGUGAAAUCCUACAGCUUAACUGUAGAACUGCCAUUGAUACUGAGAAUCUUGAGUAUGGUUGAGGUGGGCGGAAUGUAUCAUGUAGCGGUGAAAUGCUUAGAUAUGAUACAGAACACCGAUUGCGAAGGCAGCUCACUAAGCCAUAACUGACGCUGAGGCACGAAAGCGUGGGGAGCAAACAGGAUUAGAAACCCCGGUAGUCC
rnacentral:rRNA from 1 species